GUUCUUACACACCCACACAGCAGGACUGCAGCAGGAGCCAGAGAGGGCUGAAAAUCCAAAGCAAAACAGCCAAAACUGGAAAGAGAAGCCCCUUCCUUCUGUAAUGUGACUCCAGUGCCCUCUAUUGACAAAGCUUAACAUGGUGCUGUGCUUAAAGAGAAAUGUUUAAAGCAAUCAGUCCAUUACUUCAGAGCAGGCACUGAGGGGUCAAUUUGGAGAUCAUUAUCUCAGAAGGAAGCCAGUUGCCAUAUUAUGAGAACACUCAAGAAACCCUAUGGGGAAACCCAUGAAGCAAAGAAUUAAGAUCUCCUGUCAACAGACAAUGAGGAAUUAAAGCCUCCUGCCAAUAGCCAACAUAAAUGGAGGCUCCUGCCAACAGCUAUGUGAAUUAUCCAUCUGAGAAGUGGACCAUCGUUUCUCAAUUAAAUCACAAAAUGAUUGAAGUGCGGGCCACCAUCUUAUCUGCAAGCUCACGAGAAAUUUGGAACCAGAACAACCCAGCAAAGCCACUCCCAAGCUCUAACUAAUGAAUAUGCCCAUAGUUAGUUACUCUUUUGUACUCUUAUCAAUCGAUACUCUCUGACUUUCAGUAAAUCUGACCCCUACCAAUUACAAUACCAGAGAGAGUAGUUUCAAGAAGCCAUCCAAAUACUGAGUUUCUUUUGCCCCUAAUAUUCUGUUACUGAUAUCUGGGAAGAAAUUCCAUAUGAUACUUUGGUCCUUAGGAGAUGCACAGGCUUAGAUAUAUGUAGAGUCCCAUUUAUAAGUAUGCACAAAAUAUUAUAACAGUCACUUUUAAUCGACCUAUACAAAAUGAAAAUCUUAGAUCAAACAUGUAUCAUACAUUUAUUAGAAUGUAUUGUGAUUAUUGAUUUGUUUAUAAGACUUCUCGUUAACUUGUAAGCUAUUUCUGGUUCCGAAAUCUAUUGGAAAAAUGUAAUAGAUACAGAGAAUCAUGGGGCUCAGUAAAAAGCAUCCUAUUAAUAUUAUAUCAAUUGAUCGCAGAGUCCUAACUCCUGUGAAUGUGUGCUUGUAAGUUUGAAAUAUACACAAGAUCAGGUCACUACCAGAAAUCAGGAAACCAAGAGUCUUAAGAGGCAGAAUAAAUACUGAAGGACAAACAGUAGGACAAAUGGAGAAAACAGACAACUAGCCAAAAUCAAACUUUUUCAGGCAUCUUAGAGAAGAAGUAGAACAAGAAAAUGGAAAAUCACCAAGUGAUCUAGAGGAUUACGGCUUCUUUGACGCAUGAACGUUUUGGAAUUUAUGAGGAUUUUAAUGAGGAUUUUCUGAAAAAAAUAAAAAUGGUCGAACUUGAAGCUGCAGCAGAAGAAGAUAUGGAAAAACUAAAAUCUUCCUCAAGCAAAUAUUAGAGUAAUUGUCAUUAUCUCACCAUGCUCUUUUCCUGGUUAUAAAUAUGCUAGAAAACAUUCUUACUGUAAUUUUAAUAAAGUAUUUCUCUAUGUUUUCUUCUGAUUAUUUUUAUUAUUUUAUAUGUUAUUUGACUAUGUAGUCAACUUAGAAUUUUUGUGCAUGUGUGUAAAAGUGACAUUGCAAGCUAAUUUUCUAUAUGAAUAAAAACUGUCUCCAUGCUGCUUAUUUGGUCAUUACAGGUACAGGAAAGUCAUUUUUUAAUGUUGAUCUUGUAUUACUGAGCCCUCUUAUUAAUUUCAAUGGUUUUUCAGUAGAUUCUUCUAAGUUUUUAAGUAGAUGGCCAUAUCAUCUAAAAUAAUGCUGCCUCUCUUGACUCAAUAUUGGUAAUUGCUUUUAUCUAGAAAAAUCAUGCAAUUAUUAUAGACCGUAGUGAAUUUUAUAAUUCCUUUACUGUUUUUAUAUUCCCAUUAUAUAUUAACAUUUAGAAUUUAACUUUAUUUUUUAGUCUCAGGUUAGUUUCACAAGGAGAUACAAGUGCCACAGACCCACUUUAUGGGAUUAGUGUCCACCAGCACAGGGGACACUGUGGCAGCCUUUGAGUGAAUUAGCUGAGUGGCACUUAGUUUGCAACACACCGAAUAUAGCAUCUGAUCACAGUUCAAGACAUUUGAGAGGGAAGAAACAAAGGGAGAUGGGGAGAAGAAUCUAAGUAAGAUGUUAGCAGUAGCACUCACUUUCAUAUUCACCAACUGAAGGCUAAGGAAAGCAGCUGGAUGCCGAGGCAUUAGGAAAAACGUUCGCCUAAGAAUGUGCCUGCUAUUCAGCUAUUAAAUUCCAUUAAAAUGUCCUCAUUCUGUGGUCCAUCCUUAACAUCUUCUUCCAACAGCUGCAGAUGCUCCCUCAGAGCUUGGGUGGGUCGGAAAUAUAUACAGGAAAACAUAAAAAAUAUUUUGGAUGUAUAUUCUCAAAAUAGGUGAGGAGGGAAUAUUUAAAUAAACAUGGUAAAUGUGCUAUAAUAAUUAAUAAAACGUAUUUGUUUGGUAUUGAAAUCAAUUGUCCUCCAAUAUAUUGGGAUAUAAAAUGCAUUUAAAAAUAUGGUACAUUCAGUAGGAAUAAACACAUACUUUUUUAAAAUUUAGAAGCCCUUUUCAUACACAUUUUUAACAAUCACCUCAUAAUGAUGAUACUA
rnacentral:lncRNA from 1 species